AGCAGCCGCGGUAAUUCCAGCCCCAAUAGCGUAUAUUAAAGUUGUUGCAGUUAAAAGCUCGUAGUUGAAUUUCGGGAUCAAUGUUUCGGUCAUGCCGUUGGUAUGUACUGAUAUUAUUGAUUUCUCACCUUCUAAAGAACCGUAAUGCCAUUAAUUUGGUGUCACGGGGAAUUAGGACUGUUACCUUGAAAAAUUAGAGUGUUUAAAGCAGGCUCACGCUUGAAUACAUUAGCAUGGAAUAAUGAAAUAGGACAUCCGAUUCUAUUUUGUGGUUUCUAGGAUCGAUGUAAUGAUUAAUAGGGAUAGUUGGGGCAUUAGUAUUCAAUU
rnacentral:rRNA from 1 species